rnacentral:rRNA from 1 species
AACGAACGCUGGCGGCAGGCUUAACACAUGCAAGUCGAGCGCCCCGCAAGGGGAGCGGCAGACGGGUGAGUAACGCGUGGGAAUCUACCGAGCCCUAAGGAAUAACUCCGGGAAACUGGAACUAAUACCUUAUACGCCCUUCGGGGGAAAGAUUUAUCGGGGUUUGAUGAGCCCGCGUUGGAUUAGCUAGUUGGUGGGGUAAAGGCCUACCAAGGCGACGAUCCAUAGCUGGUCUGAGAGGAUGAUCAGCCACAUUGGGACUGAGACACGGCCCAAACUCCUACGGGAGGCGGUAGUGGGGAAUAUUGGACAAUGGGCGCGAGCCUAAUCCAGCCAUGCCGCGUGAGUGAUGAAGGCCCUAGGGUUGUAAAGCUCUUUCACCGGUGAAGAUAAUGACGGUAACCGGAGAAGAAGCCCCGGCUAACUUCGUGCCAGCAGCCGCUGUAA